GUACCACGGAUUUAUGUUCGUUUGUCCGGGUCACUCUGCCUUUUCGUGUUAAUUACGCGCCGCCUGCUUCGUGCUUAUCUCCUCCGCAAAGCGAUUAUUUUCGACGCCCGCCCUCCUGAGCCUCCUGAGUCGGCUGCCAGAGCGAGGGCCCGUCUCCCGCCGCCACUCGCGAUUUAUUUACACCUCGCAGAACUGCCGCGAUUUCCCCCGCAUUCAGGCGCAUUUCUGGCCUCGGAACACCUCCGCGCCCGCAGAUGCACGCUCCGAAGCUCCCACGACCGCCUGCCCCCGGCGCGCACUCUAAAACUCCUCGGCCCUCUUACCCUGCUGCUGGCUCCGCAUCGCCUAUUCGCCGCCGCCCGCAGGACUUUGGGGUGGGACUCUGACUUCUCCCGGCUGUUUGCCCCCUGGUUUGUAGCCCAUCCCUCUCUCUCACGCGCGCUCUCUCGCCACCUCUCCCUCCCAGCCAGUGAGGUCCUGUUCUCCGUGGGCCAUAGACAAAACAUUCCUAUAAUCCGAUUUCAAAGGAAAGAGUGUCCACCUUAUUUAAACCAUAAAACAAUUAAGCCCAGACGUCUAGCCAGCUCCGCGCUGCUGUUUUGUUCUGCCCCAUUCAGAAUCCAGCGCAGGGAGACAAACAGCGCCAUAAAAGUGGCAUUUCGGGACCGCGGAAAUGUACCUAUCCUCUGCCUUCCCAAGUGGAACAACCUUUAGGGUUUUGUGAUUCUGACAAAGGAGCAGAGGAGAGGUGGGAGGGGAAGAUUAGGGCGGGGUGGGGGGCGUUUGCCGGCCCCUCUCCCCCCGCCUCUUCCCCGGGCUUUCGCUGCUUUCCCCAGAUGUGUGUUGUGCUGUCGUGGCUUGGAGUCACAAAUGACAAUAAAUAAAAAUCGAAUCCAAUCCUGACCUGCAGGCUGGAGGCUGAGCUGGUACUGAACAGUGGGCUGGGCCGGGUGGGCCUGCUCUGGAUCCCACGCUCCGGCCAGGGCCCUCCUUUCAGAUCGGAGUAAGGCCGGCUUGGGCGGGCUGCAGGAAGCAGGCCGCGCUGACGGACCGACGAGGGGAGGCGACAGGGCCUCUGAGCAGGGGCGGGGUGGAGGCCCGGAAACGCCGCUGAGCCCGGCAGGGAGAACAGCCUGAGUACCGGCCGUCAGCACGGAGGGAGAGGGUGCCUUGUCCUCCGCCUGGUGCGGAACUGAGGCCUGGGUCCCAGAGCAGCAAAAUGGCCAAGGGGCGGAGUGAAGAAGCGAGAAAAGAGAGAAAACUACCGGCAAAGCACCUCUCAAAAGGACGGAGCGCAAACAAUCGCUUGUGGAUUGGGGCCGUUUCCUAAGCGGGAAAGAGGAAAGGGUGCUUCGGCAGCUGGGAAAACCAAACCAUUGCUUGCGACUUGUGAUUGUCCCCCUCAAAGUAUCAUCGACACAAAAUAGUCGCCCCUUCCCACCUUCCUCCUGCCCCCGAAACUGGAGUCUGUAAUAGAAGGAGGGGUAGGAGAUUCAAAUGAUGGGGAAGGGGCUGGUCCUGACAAGUGCCUCACCAAUCCCGUAAGGUGAUGCGAUGAGGGGAGCUGCACGGGUACUGGGGUCCCCAAUUCUUUUCUUCUACAGUGGUAUUCCCCAAGUAUUCAGAGCAACACCCUGCACCCUCGCCAGAAUGGGCAGCCUGAGAUAUUAAAGGGCUAUAUUUCAAGCAGUCUGAGUUUAAUAGUUUCCAGAUUGGGGGAUUUCCGAGAAAGGGGGCGCCGGGCUGAGGCAUACCCGGCAGCUCGAGUCUGCUUCUGAUUAGCAGAUGAAAACUGCCCGUUCUGGGGAAGGUGCUCUGGGGUGCUAGGCAGCUGCCCAGCCCCAUCGGGGCUGAUCCACAGCACACCCCACAUCCUUGCUCCUGAGGUCCCACCACCAUCAGAGAGCACCCCACUCCUGGCUAGUUCCUGACCAGCUUCCUUGGGUCCCAACUACACUACUCCCCCCCAAAUGCUGCAGCCGCUCAGCAUAACCCCAGUCACCCCCAGAUCAACAUUCAAAGUAAACACCAGAGAGAGAGAAAGAUGGAAUAGAAAAGAGAGAACUAGGCGAUGGGGAAGGGAGGAGGAUCUGAGAAUCCACUGAGAGGUAGAAAUGAAAUCUAAUUCUGAUCAUAUUGGUUUUGCCAUCUUCCUCCUCCCUCCCUCCCCCUCUCCCUUCCUUCCUGCCUCCUUUCUUCCCUCCCCACUUUCUCUCUCCCUGUCCCUCUCUCUGCAUCUUGCUUCUUUUACUCUCGCUGCAGUCCCCAGGGCCUGACCCGCUCCCUGAGGCCUGCUGGGCCUUCCUCCUCACUGUUCACCCCCCACCCUCCCUAGCA
rnacentral:lncRNA from 1 species